AGAGUUUGAUCCUGGCUCAGGACGAACGCUGGCGGCGUGCCUAAUACAUGCAAGUCGAGCGAAUCUUUGGGAGUUGCUCCCAUUAGGUUAGCGGCGGACGGGUGAGUAACACGUGGGCAACCUGCCUGUAAGACUGGGAUAACUUCGGGAAACCGGAGCUAAUACCGGAUAAUCCUUUUCCUCACAUGAGGGAGAGCUGA
rnacentral:rRNA from 1 species